GCCUGGGUGGCUUAGUUGGUUAAGCGUCUGACUUUGGCUCAGGUCAUGAUCUGCCAGCUCGUGAGCUUGAGCCCCGCAUCAGGCU
rnacentral:tRNA from 1 species